AGACAGUCAUGAAUCCGACAAAAAUAUUGAUAUUGCUCUUGUUUAAUGAAGCAAUUGUAUAUAUUAUGUAUUUAAUUUUGUACUUAUAAAUUUAAUUAAUUUUUAUCUUUUGCAAGAAUGCGUUAGUGACCCCAAAAGCCUGCACGGCGGGUGACUGCUCUCUGCACGACUCAAAACUCAGUAAUUUCCUCAGCACCGCCAUUAAGGACGAUUUUACAUCCGUUUUUGAGUCUUCUUUCGCUUCAUCGAGUUUGGAGAUUGGAGAAAUUUUUUACAAAUGCGGCCGGCUCUUCUUCAGAAGCAAUAAUCAAGGAUCAUUUUCUGAGGCGGUUCUCGUUUGCGCCAAAAGGAAAAUGCAACUUGUUGCAAUGGAAGACGGCGAGAACAACAUGAAUUGUCUGGCGCACAAUUUCGAGAAAAUGACCAUCGAGAAGCAAA